CCACCGCCGCGCUCGGAGCUCGGAGCUCGGAGCUCGCAGCUCGCUUCGCCCUGCGCCUCUGUCGCCGCCGCCGCUGCCACCGCCACCCGCACACCCUUGGCGCGUCCACGCACCGCUCCGCUCCUUGCAGCCGGCACAGAGUGCGCUUAUCGCUCGUUCAGGGCAGAGUAUCCCCGUUGCAGCCCCUCGGCGAUGGCCACCAAGAUCGACAAAGAGGCUUGCCGGACGGCGUAUAACCUGGUGCGCGACGACAGCUCGGCCGUCAUCUGGGUGACUUUUAAAUACGACGGCUCCACCAUCGUCCCCGGCGAGCAGGGAGCGGAAUAUCAGGACUUCAUCCAACAAUGCACAGAUGACGUCCGAUUGUUUGCCUUCGUGCGCUUCACCACCGGGGAUGCCAUGAGCAAGAGGUCCAAGUUUGCCCUCAUCACCUGGAUUGGCGAGAACGUCAGCGGGCUGCAGCGCGCCAAGACGGGCACCGACAAGACCCUGGUGAAGGAAGUGGUGCAGAAUUUCGCCAAAGAGUUUGUGAUCACUACCAGCCCAUCAGCCCACCAGGGAGAGGAGACGCGAUGAGAGGCAACGCCCGCCACCCCGUCCGCAACCCAGCUCCCCUCCCCGCUUCCCCUUGUGCACCUGCUGUGUCCCGUCCCAUGAAGCUCAUGGAACAUCUUUCUUUGCUUUUUUUUCUUUUCUCCCCCUGACCCCUUUCUUGUUCUAAACAAAAAUCAUUUGGAUGCCAAGGUCACGCACAUCACCAGAUCGGAGGUGCCUCCUGCGGUGACCCUCUCCUGGCAUUUCUUAACGCACAGGCAGCCUGCCCGGCCUGACCCAUCAACCUCGCGUCGCUUCUGGCGCCUGGGCCAGUGUCGCUCUCUUGUUUUCUUUUUUUUUGGCGCCCGCCUGCUUCCCACGGAGGAGGCAGCCACGUGGGGAGCCCGUCCUCAUCGUGCCCUUGUCGAGCCCCGCUGGCCAGGCUCACACCUCCAGGAGUCCCUCCGGAGGCCCCCCCACCCCCCACCUCCAUUCCAAGUUGCCUAAGCUCCAUGUCCAUCAGAGACGGUGCUCGGUGGAGAGAUGGGCAGCCCUGACUCAGACCGAAGGAGGAGAGAGGAAAAUCUGCCACCCGUCAGAAGCGGCCCGUUCCCCAGCCUUGGGAUGGCGCUCUCGGGAUGGCGGGGGGUGGGGGCAGAGGUCUGAGUCCAGAUUCGACGGGAGGUGCUCAGGGCUCACAUCCUCGGGCUCCCCAAGUGACGAGGACAUUAGGGGUGCAGAAUGGGCAUUUAGGUCAAAGCGGUCCUCUGCACGACAGCACAGACAGCAGGGGACAGAGGCUCCCUGCUCCGUCACGGUCACCACAGCUGUGUGUGCAGCGCCCCCCCCCACUGGGGGGGGGAACCAGAAAGUCUAUGGUUUUAAUCCUCGGUGGCACCUCACACAAAAAGGAUUUUUUUUUUUUUCAAAGAAAGAUGAGGUUGGCUUGGUUCUUCAUGCCCAUGUUAGGUAGGGCUCUUUUUCUCUUUUCCUUGCUCGUUUCGUCGGGGGACGUCUGUGCUGUGCUGGGGUGGUGAAGGCAUCUGCACUCAAAACGGUUUACAGAAAUAAAUUUUUGUUUUGUUUUGUUUUUCA
rnacentral:lncRNA from 1 species